UAGGGAAUCUUCGGCAAUGGGGGGAACCCUGACCGAGCAACGCCGCGUGAGUGAAGAAGGUUUUCGGAUCGUAAAGCUCUGUUGUUAAGGAAGAACGAGUGUGAGAAUGGAAAGUUCAUGCUGUGACGGUACUUAACCAGAAAGGGACGGCUAACUACGUGCCAGCAGCCGCGGUAAUACGUAGGUCCCGAGCGUUGUCCGGAAUUAUUGGGCGUAAAGCGCGCGCAGGCGGCUACUUAAGUCCAUCUUAAAAGUGCGGGGCUUAACCCCGUGAUGGGAUGGAAACUGAGAAGCUGGAGUGUCGGAGAGGAAAGUGGAAUUCCUAGUGUGGCGGUGAAAUGCGUAGAGAUUAGGAAGAACACCGGUGGCGAAGGCGACUUUCUGGACGACAACUGACGCUUAGGCGCGAAAGCGUGGGGAGCAAACAGG
rnacentral:rRNA from 1 species